AGUUAUGAGGAAAGUCCCGCCUCUCUCGUGGCCUCUCGCCAUCGUCUUCGCGGCUGCAAAGGCGAGGGGCGAUGAUAAAGUCGAAGACGCCCUCAUAUCAGCAAUGAAACGUCUCCAAGACGAUGUUCUCCAGUACCGCAA
rnacentral:ribozyme from 12 species